rnacentral:rRNA from 1 species
GGAGUUAGCCGGUGCUUCUUCUGUGAGUGAUGUCCUUCCUGCCGGUUAUUGACCCGCAGGCCUUCUUCCUCACUGAAAGUGCUUUACAACCCGAAGGCCUUCUUCACACACGCGGCAUGGCUGGAUCAGGGUUGCCCCCAUUGUCCAAUAUUCCCCACUGCUGCCUCCCGUAGGAGUCUGGGCCGUGUCUCAGUCCCAGUGUGGCUGAUCAUCCUCUCAGACCAGCUACGGAUCGUCGCCUUGGUGAGCCGUUACCUCACCAACCAGCUAAUCCCGACAUAGGCUCAUCCGAUAGCGCGAGGCCCGAAGGUCCCCCGCUUUCCCCCGUAGGGCGUAUGCGGUAUUAGCCUGGGUUUCCCCAGGUUAUCCCCCACUACCGGGCAGAUUCCUAUGCAUUACUCACCCGUCCGCCGCUCGCCACCAGGGAGCAAGCUCCCCGUGCUGCCGCUCGACUUGCAUGUGUUAGGCCUGCCGCCAGCGUUCAAUCUGAGCCAUGAUCAAACUCUGA